rnacentral:lncRNA from 1 species
AGGAAAGGCAGGGGAGGCAGCGGCGGGAAGCCUUCCUUAGCUGUGUGAUCCUAGAUGGCUGUUAACUUAGCAUUUGAGGACUGUCUCAGAUAGACACAAUUGGACCAGCACUGUUUUCAGCAGACAGAGUCCUAAGUGGAUGCCUGAUUGGCUGAUCCUGGGACACGUGCCUGCUCACUGGAUGUACUGAGGCUAUGAGAAGAAGGAUCUGGCAAAACAAACCUCAGGGACCUCAUCAAGAAGGCAGAGGACCUGGACUAACCAUGACAUCCAAACUGAACACAAUUUUAGAGAUAAUUCCCACAGAAGAGACAGGAUUUCUAGAAAAUGGAAAUAGCCCGCUCUUGGAAAAGAAUGGGCAUUUACUGAGAUGCAACUAUAAGCUGGUGAAAUAUAAUUUUGUUUAAAAUCAUUUAAUUUUAUUCCACAUCAUUUUCCUUUGAAGAUAUUUGAAUUGCCAGGGACAUUAAUAUUGUCAAGGAGAUUUGCUGUUUCACCCAAAUAUGAGAUGUCCACUUUGGGAUUAGAUCCCUGCCUCAUUCAAAUUUCCUUUUCCCUUAGUCUUUUCUUGAGUUACGGACAUUUGUUCAUUUUUUUCAACUUAUUCAACAAGUAUUUAUUGAACAACUACUAUGUGCCAUAUACUGUUUUUGGUUUGGUAUGGAAAGCCUGUAGGAAUCUCUGUUGUAAUUUUGGGAAUUUGCCCAACCUGCUCUUUAGGUGGUGCUAUGAACUGACUUGUGUGCUCCCAAAAUUUAUCUGUUGAAGCUCUAAGCUCCAAUGUGAUGAUAUUUGGAGAUGGGAUCUUUGGGAAUUAAUUAAGGUUAGAUGAGGUCAUGAGGAUGAGGCCCUUAUGAUGGGAUUAGUGCCCUUAUAAGAAAACACACCAGAGUGCCUGCUUGCUCUCUCUCUCUGCCAUGUGAAGACACAGUAUGAAGGCAGCUUAUUGCAAGCCUAAGAGAGAACCCUUGCCAGAAUUGGACUUCCGGUCUCCAGAACCAUGAAAACAUAAACUUCUGUUGUUUAAGCCACCCAGUCUACGGAAUUUUGUUCUAGAAGCCCAAGCUGACUAAUAUGGUUGGAGUCCAGUGCUUUGCGUGAAGAAGGUACAUCUCUAAAACUAAACAUUUUGCUCAUUGAAGCUUGAUCUGAAAUAAUUAAGACUUUGGUCGUGAAAAUCUUAGACAGAAUCCAUUCAGUGACUACCUUUAUUCUGAAUUGGCAGGCAGGCAGUUCUGAUAGAUCUGAGAAGAUUCUUUUGACAACAAUUUCUCCAACUUCAGAUAUGUUGAAAAACAAAAUAAAUAUGUUAAUAAUUAACAUGAUGUAAUGAACUUCAGUAGUAAAUUAAGACUAGAAGAGAUUAGGGGUACCAGGAAUCUUGGUUGUAAAGUGGCAUAUAUAAACAUAGUUGCAUCAAAACUUGCUAAAGUGGCCAGGUGCAGUGGCUCAUGCCUGUAAUCCCAGCACUUUGGGAAGCCGAGACAGGUGGAUCACCUGAGGUCAGGAGUUUGAGAUUAGCCUGGCCAACAGGGUGAAACCCUGUCUCUACUGAUAAUACAAAAAUUAGCCAGACAUGGUGGCACACGACUGUAAUCCCAGCUACUUAGGAGGCUGAGGCAGGAGAAUCGCUUGAACCUGGGAGGCAGAGGUUGCAGUGAGCCGGGAUCGCACCAUUGCACUCCAGCCUGGGCAACACGAGCAAAACUCUGUCUCAAAACAAAACAAAACAAAAAAAAACACACAUGAACAAAAAACAAAACAACAAUGACAAAAAAACUUGCUAAAGCAUUGGAAGUAUUGAGGCCAUUUAUUAAAGAAAUGCUGUAUAAAAUAACAGCAGAAGAAAUGAGAAUGGAAAGAGAUUUCUGAAAAAGAAUUAUAAGUGACUGUAGGGAAGUGUUAGUUUUGUUAUAGGGUAGUCGGGAGUGCAGAAUACAUAAAAGACUUGAUUUUACCUAUAAAGCAGUAGUUUAUUAAAGAAUAUAGCAAGAGGAAUAGAUUGUUGGAAGGAUAGUUUGGUUCAUCGUCAGAAACUCACUGCCUUAUAGCCUAUCCCUCCCUCCUUAAGAGGCAUGCCCUUGUGGACUUAAAAUUUCUUUGGCUCAACGCACAGGAACAGCUUAAGUUGUACCUCUUUUCAGUUGGUUUCAUACCUUUGCAGAACAUCCAAGGGCAACAUACAUAUCACUAUUACAUUUGGAUGGGGGAAGUACUGACUCCACUUUGCUCAUUUUAAUCAAUACUAGUCUCUUUUCCUAUUUCAUACUCGAUGUAAUUUUGAUAAUAUAAAAAAAACUUAUAGUUCCUCUAUUAGUAUAUUUAUUGGAGGUACUUCGAUACAUAAUUUCUAUAAGCAACUUUAUUGAAUUAUGCAUGUGGAACCAGAUCUUAAUGACAACCUCCUCUCUCUAACCUCUAACACAUUUGCUGUAAUGAGCAGGAUAAUGCACCCUGCCACACACAUACACACACACAAAGAUGCUCACAUCCUAAUCUCUGGAAUCUGGAAAUAUUUUAUGUUUCAUGACAAAGGGGAAUUAAGAUUGUAGAUAAAGUUAAGGUUGUUAAUCAGCUGUUGUUAAAAUAGGGAGAUCAUCCUGGAUUAUCUGGAUGAGUCCAGUGUACUCACAAGUUUCCUUGCAUGUGAAAGAUGGAGGCAAAUGAAUUUGUGUCAAAAUGUGUGAGAAGGAUGUGAUCUGUCAUGGCUGGCUUUGAAGAUGAAGGGAGCCAUGAGCCAAGGAAGGCAGGCAGCCUCUAGAUGCUUGAAAAGUCGAGGAAACAGAUUUACACCUAGACCUCCAGAAAGGAACACACCCCUGCUAACACUUUGAAAUCAGCUCAGUGACACCCAUGUUGGACUUCUGAUCCCUAGGGCUAUAAGAUAGUAAAGGUUGAUUGUUUUAAGCCACUACAUUUGUGGUAAUUUGUGACAGCAGCCAUAGGAAACAUAUACUUGCUAUACAGUAAUCCCUUGGUAUCCAUGGGGAAUUGGUUCCAGGACAACCCCCCUUCCCAUGGAUACCAAAAUCUGCGGAUGCUCAAGUUUCUUAUAUAAAAUGGUGUAGUAUUUGCACAUAACCUAUGCACAUCCUCUUGUAUAUUUUAAAUCACCUCUAGAUUACUUAUAAUACCUAUAAUACAAUGUAAAUGUUAUGUAAAUACUUGCUAUACUGUAUUUUUAAAAUUUGUAUUGUUUUUUAUUGCUGUAUUGUUAAUUUUUAUUUUUCAAAUAUUUUUGAUCCUUGGUUGAAUAAACGAGCGCAGAACCCGCUGAUACAGAGAGCUAUUGUGCGUAUUUUGUCUUAUACCUCAAAGUUAAAGUAGGUAUUUGUUUAGAGAGGUCAGGCAAUUCAAGAACAUGGCAAUCUACCUUCUAGAAUUCUGGUUAAAGACAUUCAGGAAUACAAUAUAAAAAGGUGGAUCUCUCCAAAUACUGAUAUUUGCAUCAGAAGAGAUUUUGGUUAUUCAUAUAAUGAUUGAAAUGAAA